GACGAACGCUGGCGGCGUGCCUAAUACAUGCCAGUAGAACGCUGAAGGAGGAGCUUGCUUCUCCGGAUGAGUUGCGAACGGGUGAGUAACGCGUAGGUAACCUGCCUGGUAGCGGGGGAUAACUAUUGGAAACGAUAGCUAAUACCGCAUAACAGUAGAUGUUGCAUGACAUUUGCUUAAAAGGUGCAAUUGCAUCACUACCAGAUGGACCUGCGUUGUAUUAGCUAGUUGGUGAGGUAACGGCUCACCAAGGCGACGAUACAUAGCCGACCUGAGAGGGUGAUCGGCCACACUGGGACUGAGACACGGCCCAGACGCCUACGGGAGGCAGCAGUAGGGAAUCGUCGGCAAUGGACGGAAGGCUGACCGAGCAACGCCGCGUGAGUGAAGAAGGGUUUCGGAUCGUAAAGCUCUGUUGUAAGAGAAGAACGAGUGUGAGAGUGGAAAGUUCACACUGUGACGGUAUCUUACCAGAAAGGGACGGCUAACUACGUG
rnacentral:rRNA from 1 species